GAUGAACGCUGACAGCAUGCUUAACACAUGCAAGUCCACUUGAAUUUGGGUUUUUAACUUCGGUUUGGGUGGCGGACGGGUGAGUAACGCGUAAAGAACUUGCCUCACAGCUAGGGACAACAUUUGGAAACGAAUGCUAAUACCUAAUAUUAUGAUAAUAGGGCAUCCUAUAAUUAUGAAAGCUAUAAGCGCUGUGAGAGAGCUUUGCGUCCCAUUAGCUAGUUGGAGAGGUAACGGCUCACCAAGGCGAUGAUGGGUAGCCGGCCUGAGAGGGUGAUCGGCCACAAGGGGACGGAGACACGGCCCUUACUCCUACGGGAGGCAGCAGUGGGGAAUAUUGGACAAUGGACCGAGAGUCUGAUCCAGCAAUUCUGUGUGCACGAUGAAGUUUUUCGGAAUGUAAAGUGCUUUCAGUUGGGAAGAAACAAAUGACGGUACCAACAGAAGAAGUGACGGCUAAAUACGUG
rnacentral:rRNA from 1 species